UGGGGAAUAUUGCACAAUGGGCGCAAGCCUGAUGCAGCCAUGCCGCGUGUAUGAAGAAGGCCUUCGGGUUGUAAAGUACUUUCAGUCGGGAGGAAGGUGGUAAGGUUAAUAACCUUAUCAAUUGACGUUACCGACAGAAGAAGCACCGGCUAACUCCGUGCCAGCAGCCGCGGUAAUACGGAGGGUGCAAGCGUUAAUCGGAAUUACUGGGCGUAAAGCGCACGCAGGCGGUUGAUUGAGUCAGAUGUGAAAUCCCCGGGCUUAACCCGGGAACUGCAUUCGAAACUGGCAGGCUAGAGUCUUGUAGAGGGGGGUAGAAUUCCAGGUGUAGCGGUGAAAUGCGUAGAGAUCUGGAGGAAUACCGGUGGCGAAGGCGGCCCCCUGGACAAAGACUGACGCUCAGGUGCGAAAGCGUGGGGAGCAAACAGG
rnacentral:rRNA from 1 species